CCACGCCGUAAAUAGCCCUUGAAUAGCCCGGACAUCCUAGCCGCCAGCCGCAGGGAAGGAGGCCUCAGGCCGGGGCUGCGAAUUAGGGUGGAACCCUCCAACCUUAAGCUUCACCCCAGAGCUGCAUGCAGCAGGGUUGAAGGGACCACCCGGACCUGCACGCAGCAGGGUUGAAGGGACCACCCGGACCUGCACGCAGCAGGGUUGAAGAGACCACCCGGACCUGCACGCAGCAGGGUUGAAGGGACCACCCGGACCUGCAUGCAGCAGGGUUGAAGGGACCACCCGGACCUGCAUGCAGCAGGGUUGAAGGGACCACCCGGACCUGCAUGCAGCAGGGUUGAAGGGACCACCCGGACCUGCAUGCAGCAGGGUUGAAGGGACCACCCGGACCUGGUGUCCAGUCCACAAUUUCAGGGCCUGGCUUCCUCGGUGGCGUCUUGGUCCUUGAUAAGUUUCAUCCUCUUCUUGCUCAGCGGGGUCUUGAAGUACCAGUCCUGGUUUGGAGGCAGAGGAGGAAAGCUUCGCCAGGUGCCCCAGGAACUCUGAGGCCACCAGGGGCCGCUUGGACAAUUGCAGGAGCCGCCGUUCCGUCAGCACUGCUUGGAUGGCCUGGAGAAUGCGGCCAGGAAGGUAAGGAUCAGCCUCCCCACUUAACCUGGGAAAGUGAGACUCCAAGGACUAAAGUGGCCUGCCCGUGUCUACAGAACCAGGCCAGGACCCAGAGCGCUGGGCUGCUUGUCUAGUGACACUUCCAGAACACCUGGCUGUGGAGCCCCAGGGCCUCACCAUAGCGAGACGCGUAAUCGGGCCGCGGCAGGAGGAGGACCCGCUCGUAGGUGCGGCACAGCCCCUUCAUCUCAGCCGCCUGCGGCCGGUCAGUGGUCCCCAUCAGCAUCACGCGGUCUCCAGGGUUCAGCAGUCGCAGGGCCUUGGUUGCCAGGUGACAGGUCGAAAAGGUUGGCACCGGUUUCCGUGCACACGGCCUUGACCAGCAUCUUCUUCCGCAUGCCGGAGGGGCCCACCAGGAGGAUGGAGCGGAUGAGGGGGGCCAUGGAGUGUAUGUCUGGGGAGCCUAAGAGAGAAAACAGGGGCCAG